rnacentral:tRNA from 1 species
GGGGCUGUAGUAUAGCUUGGCUAGUACUCAGCGUUCGGGACGCUGCAACCGAGGUUCAAAUCCUCGCAGCCCCA